GACAUCUUCACAGGAGCAAAAAGGGGUUCUUCCAAGUGAACCCUAAACUCACAAAUUGGAUCAAAAUCAAGGGAAAUCAAGCCAAGAUUUUGGGGCUUUAACUAAAUUCGUGAUCACCAAGCUUAGGAGAUCACAAGUUGACUCUAAACAAGCUAGGUGGGAGCUUGGAAAGGAACGGGUCAAACGGAUCAUGGAUGCGAAGAAUGUUUGCGCGGACGCGAGGGUAAAACGACUUAUGGAAUUUACGUGGCUAUGAAUCAGCAAAUUAUUAAGGCAAGGUAUUAAAACGGGUCAAUACUUUGACCCGGGCCAGGUACGCGUAAAUUUGGUGGAAGAUAUGUGAAUACCUUAAUGUAGAAAAAUGACAUGUGAAAGUAGAGAGUGGGAUUUAAACUUAAAUGAUUAAAUCCUCUCUAACGGGUCAAAAUGAAUUACGCGCGUAACUUGGGUGUUCGCCGCGUAAUUCACAAAACUUAUGAAUCCAAGAUAGGUAUUUUGAGUUAAAUACCUUGGUCUAAGAAUUUUGAUUAACUAGAAACAAGUUUCGAGGUCUUAAAUACAAACGGGAGAUCAAACGGAUACGCGUAUUGAAAGAUACGAAAGUUUUCGUGUCAAAAACGGUAAAAUGGGAAGGGCUGAUACAGGGGCCACCGUAACUUACGGUGACCACCGUAAGUUACGGUGGGGCUGAAAUCUUUACGGUAGUUACCCACUGAGUUACGGUAGGGGAACUUUAAUACAGGGGCCACCGUAACUUACGGUGCCCACCGUAAGUUACGGUGGAGGCCAGUUUGGAAUCCUUGUCUUUGGAUCAAGAGAUUAACAUUGGGAUUUUCCUUCCAUUAUCAUAAUCUUGUUUUGUACCGUCAUUUAAACUAUCAAUACUGACUUUUAAGUUGGUUUUGAUCACAGGUGAAUGUCGAGAGUCCCGGAUGAAGAUCAAGUGUCGAGCAAGAACCGAACACAUGUUAAACGAAGCUUCCGCAAUGUUGUUUCGUCGUUAUUCUAAAACGAUGAAUUAAAUUACACUAUGUUGUUUGCUUACAAAUUCAGAAAAGUUUUAAUAAACCCGUAUUUUAGCAU